AAAGUGUUGCACACUUUUAGUGUUUGUACUCUACCAUCAAACUUCCACUUACAGCUAUGUUACUUGAAGUUUAAAGUCCAUAGACGGUAACUAUGGGAAUUUCAUUUGUUGUGGUUCUGGUCAGCCUAUUAAGUGCAUUUCUUCCAAGUGUUUAUAGUGAUGGUGCAACAAAUGGGUACUUCAGUUUUC